UUAUCUUCAAAAACCUCAAGUAAGGGGUCGCCCAAAUUCCCGGUUCCUCACAGCAACUGUUCUUGGAGUGCAGCAAGGUUGGUGUUUUAGUUGCUUAUCUAUUUCUGUGUUGCCUUUGUCUUUUAUAUUUGAAUAUAAUCAUUCGAAAAAUUGUGUUAGCAGUCCCAAUAUCCUACAUUCAAGGUGAAGGGGCUGUAAAAUUGGAUCUUAAAAUUGAAUGUAAAAUCGUGAGAUUGUACAACUUACUAAAAAAUACCUUAAAAAAUAUAUAAUCAUAUUUACAUAAAUACAUAAAUAAAGUUUCAUGUAAAUUUAAUAUAAGAAGUUAUAAAAAAGCUUUCUAAUAUAUUUUU
rnacentral:misc_RNA from 1 species